rnacentral:rRNA from 1 species
CCUACGGGAGGCAGCAGUGGGGAAUAUUGGACAAUGGGCGAAAGCCUGAUCCAGCAAUUCCGCGUGUGUGAAGAAGGCCUUCGGGUUGUAAAGCACUUUAGUGGGGGAAGAAACAGCUUGGCCACACCAAGCCUUGACGGUACCCCAAGAAUAAGCACCGGCUAACUCUGUGCCAGCAGCCGCGGUAAUACAGAGGGUGCAAGCGUUAAUCGGAUUUACUGGGCGUAAAGGGUGCGUAGGUGGCUAUUUAAGUCGGAUGUGAAAGCCCGGGGCUCAACCUCGGAAUUGCAUUCGAUACUGAGUGGCUAGAGUUCGGUAGAGGGCGGCGGAAUUUCCGGUGUAGCGGUGAAAUGCGUAGAUAUCGGAAGGAACAUCAAUGGCGAAGGCAGCCGCCUGGGCCUGGACUGACACUGAGGCACGAAAGCGUGGGUAGCAAACAGGAUUAGAUACCCUGGUAGUCCACGCCGUAAACGAUGAGAACUUGACGUUGGUUCGUUUUACGAAUCGGUGUCGCNGCUACGACGAUAAGUUACUCCGUCCGUCGGGUAGGUACGGCCGGCCGACGGUUAGGUAAACGUAACGUAAAGUAAGUAGUUACGUUGUAGAGUUAGCGACGACGACGACGACGGAGGAGGAG